AUUGAACGCUGGCGGCGUGCCUAACACAUGCAAGUCGAGCGGAGUCAGUAAGAGGAAGUUUUCGGAUGGAAUCUUAUUGAUUUAGCGGCGGACGGGUGAGUAACGCGUGAGCGACCAACCUUGCACAGGGGGAUAACGGACCGAAAGGUUCACUAAUACCGCAUGAGACCACGGUGUUGCAUCACACAGGGGUCAAAGGAGCAAUCCGGUGCAAGACGGGCUCGCGUCCGAUUAGGUAGUUGGAGGGGUAACGGCCCACCAAGCCUAUGAUCGGUAGCCGACCUGAGAGGGUGAUCGGCCACAUUGAAACUGAGAUACGGUCCAAACUCCUACGGGAGGCAGCAGUGGGGAAUAUUGGGCAAUGGGGGAAACCCUGACCCAGCAACGCCGCGUGAAGGAAGAAGGUUUUCGGAUUGUAAACUUCUGUCCUUGGUGAAGAGAAGAAGACGGUAGCCAAGGAGGAAGCCCCGGCUAACUACGUGCCAGCCGCCGCCGUAA
rnacentral:rRNA from 1 species